rnacentral:rRNA from 1 species
CCUACGGGUGGCAGCAGUGGGGAAUAUUGGGCAAUGGGCGCAAGCCUGACGCAGCAACGCCGCGUGAAGGAAGAAGGAUUUCGGGUUGUAAACUUCUUUUAUCAGGGACGAAGCAAGUGACGGUACCUUAUGAAGAAGCCACGGCUUACUACGUACCAGCAGCCGGGGUAAUACGUGGGUGGCAAGCGUUAUCCGGAUUUACUGGGAGUAAAUGGGGUGUAGGCGGGAGUGCCAGUCAGAUGUGAAAACUAUGGGGCCAACCCACAGCCUGCCUUUGUAACUGUACUUCUUGAGUGCUCGAGAGGCAUUCGGAAGUCGGGGUGUAGCGGUGAAAUGCGUAGAUAUCCGGAGGAACACCAGUGGCGAAGGCGGAUUGCUGGACAGUAACUGACGCUGAGGCGCGAAAGCGUGGGGAGCAAACAGGAUUAGAUACCCGAGUAGUC